rnacentral:tRNA from 1 species
AAGGGAGACCUAAUUCAGGUAGGAGACGAAAAAAAAGUAGUCCCUACCAAGAAUCAAUCCCAAAAGGUCGGAACGAGGCGAAAUUGGCUUUCAAACUAGGUUCUGGGUUCAAACUAGACCUGAAUCAGGAACAAGGGCUAUUAGCUCAGGUGGUUAGAGCGCACCCCUGAUAAGGGUGAGGUCCCUGGUUCGAGUCCAGGAUGGCCCACCUGCACAGGUGGCAAAAACAAGAGAAGCUCCGAAUCAGCACCUUAUCUUACUUACAUAGUAAGAGAGAAUGCUGGCUCUGAGUAAAGAGUCCAGAGGAACCUUGAAAACUGCAUAGAGCUAGGUGAAAAAGCCAAAAAAGAAGACCGCAAGGUCAAGCUAAUAAGGGCUAACGGUGGAUACCUAGGCAC